GAUCGGAGAGGAAAGAAGAAGAAGCAGAAGAAGAUGCAUCUUACGUUAUGGGAACUACGUGUACUUUUAACUUUGCAUCUUAGCCCUCGAGCCCUAAACCAUCUUCCCAGUGAACUUUUAACCGUUCACAAUAGCCACGAUGGAGCCUUGACCAAACCCAUUAAACAGCGAAGGAGUUGCGAUCUAAACAACAUUUAUAGAGUGUUAUGCUAUGGGAUUUCUGACAGGCUCAAAGUCUCCAACCAAACUAUUCUCCCCAUACUAUUACCAUAUAGAUAUAAGUGUCUUCAAAGUUUUGGCUAAAUGAAUUACAACAGCAUCCACAAGUGUUAACUGAUUUCCACAUUCUUCAAACAAAAGAAAUCAUAUAUUUCUAAACGAUUUCUUAAAUGAACUUCUCAUCGACUAUGGGCAUUUAGCAGAAGCAUUAAUGGACAAAGGAAAAGCAAAAAGCCCCUUCAAAUAAGGAUCUGAAUCCAAAAACCACACAAAAAAUGUGAGGUAAUAGAAAAUCCCAUCAAUGAUCAUUUUCUUUUUCAACAAUAUUCGUUUCUCUGUUUCUAGUUUUUUUAAUUCAGCCUAACUUUAUCAUCCCAUAUUUAAAUGUCUUAAGUUACAGCUCAAAAAGGUACACAAAAUAUCCCAUCCUCAUCUAUAUUCCUCAGGCAAGCGGUAUCCAGACAUGACUAUUUUGUCGGCAAACAUUUUGCCGGUCUUGGGCAUGACAUGCCAGUGCAAAGUCAAAUUGAAUUCUUUACCUCGAAGAUUGCUCCCCUGUAUUGAUAAAAUUGUUUAGAUAUUUAAGCAUGCAAGUGAAAAGCCUAUGCUGGCUCAACUUGCAUCGGCAUAGCAUACACAAAUAAACGACUUCAUGAGGGAGUAUACCUGGUCAACAAAACGAUAUUUGUUUGCAGUUUGGAUCCAAAAGUUUGCAUGUUCUUUCGUUGGUAUGAUUGCAUCCCAAAGUGAAACCUUAAGCACAAUGCAAAACAAGUUAAGGAGUUGACAUAGUCUGUGUAGAAGACCUCAAAAUUUUCCAAACAGGUGAAAUGGACUUCCCUAAAGAUGCUAAUGAUGUAUUUUAAAAUGGAAAAAUGGAUAGGAAACUGAUUCUAGCACCAUUAUUACCUCACAAAUACAAAAUUGAAACAGAAAAUACUUAGUUUCCGGACACAGGUACCUGGUUCAAGGAAUUUUUUGGGGUUUCAUACUCUGCAGCUACAAAUACAAAAACCUGCUUUGUGUUCCACGUAAACAAAGACUGUAAAUCAGCUGUUAUAUUCAUUGUGAGGCUAACCUGCAUUAAAUGAAUAGCAACUUGAUCAUCAGGAUAUCAAUAACUAGAAUAAAAAGUAGUCUUCUACAAAAAGUACAAAAAUAGAGUUGUUAAACUACAUGAACACAUAAUGCGAGAUGGUUGACACCACAACACUAUCUUAAAAUAGGUAAACUCAACUACAAGAAACAAUUAUGAGAGGGGCCCUUUUGGAAGAAGAAAUUAGACUGUCUAUGUCCAAAUUGCAUUUAAAAUACUGCAAAUGAGUAAUUUUUCUCACUCAACAUUCUUCCCCAAAUUCUCAUUUUCAAAGCUUCUUUCAGUUGAAACUUGAAAAGGAAAAUUUAAAGCAGCUGAACCAAAAAUUAUUGCAAUAGGAGUAAGACAAUUAUUUGAACUGGUAUAGGUUUUAGACAUUUUAUAAAUUGAUAAGAAUUAACUAAGAAAAUGAACAAAAUGAAAUAUGUAAUUGACUAUUGGUUCGAUAUUACAGAAACAGAAGAAGACUUGAACUUUAAGGAGCCAAAUAAUAUAUUGGCUUCUAUUUACACAGAU
rnacentral:misc_RNA from 1 species